rnacentral:tRNA from 1 species
GCCCGGCUAGCUCAAUCGGUAGAGCGUAAGACUCUUAACUUACGCAUCUCAGGACGCGAUUGGUCAAGUGCAAUCUUAAGGCUGUGGGUUCGACCCCCACGUCGGGCU